UGCAGAACUACAACAACGAGCUGGUC
rnacentral:piRNA from 2 species